CGCUACCAUGCAAGUCGAACGGAGUCAAGAGGAGCUUGCUUUUCUUGACUUAGUGGCGAACGGGUGAGUAACGCGUGAGUAACCUGCCCUGGGGUGGGGGACAACAGUUGGAAACGACUGCUAAUACCGCAUAAGCCCACGGAUCCGCAUGGAUCUGCGGGAAAAGGAUUUAUUCGCUUCAGGAUGGACUCGCGUCCAAUUAGCUAGUUGGUGAGGUAACGGCCCACCAAGGCGACGAUUGGUAGCCGGACUGAGAGGUUGAACGGCCACAUUGGGACUGAGACACGGCCCAGACUCCUACGGGAGGCAGCAGUGGGGGAUAUUGCACAAUGGGGGAAACCCUGAUGCAGCGACGCCGCGUGGAGGAAGAAGGUUUUCGGAUUGUAAACUCCUGUCGUUAGGGACGAUAAUGACGGUACCUAACAAGAAAGCACCGGCUAACUACGUGCCAGCAGCCGCGGUAAAACGUAGGGUGCAAGCGUUGUCCGGAAUUACUGGGUGUAAAGGGAGCGCAGGCGGACCGGCAAGUUGGAAGUGAAAACUAUGGGCUCAACCCAUAAAUUGCUUUCAAAACUGCUGGCCUUGAGUAGUGCAGAGGUAGGUGGAAUUCCCGGUGUAGCGGUGGAAUGCGUAGAUAUCGGGAGGAACACCAGUGGCGAAGGCGACUUACUGGGCACCAACUGACGCUGAGGCUCGAAAGCAUGGGUAGCAAACAGGAUUAGAUACCCUGGUAGUCCAUGCCGUAAACGAUGAUUACUAGGUGUUGGAGGAUUGACCCCUUCAGUGCCGCAGUUAACACAAUAAGUAAUCCACCUGGGGGAGUACGACCGCAAGGUUGAAACUCAAAGGAAUUGACGGGGGCCCGCACAAGCAGUGGAGUAUGUGGUUUAAUUCGAAGCAACGCGAAGAACCUUACCAGGUCUUGACAUCCGAUGCAUAGCUUAGAGAUAAGUGAAGUCCUUCGGGACAUCGAGACAGGUGGUGCAUGGUUGUCGUCAGCUCGUGUCGUGAGAUGUUGGGUUAAGUCCCGCAACGAGCGCAACCCUUAUUGCCAGUUACUACGCAAGAGGACUCUGGCGAGACUGCCGUUGACAAAACGGAGGAAGGUGGGGAUGACGUCAAAUCAUCAUGCCCUUUAUGACUUGGGCUACACACGUAUUACAAUGGCGUUAAACAAAGAGAAGCAAGACCGCGAGGUGGAGCAAAACUCAGAAACAACGUCCCAGUUCGGACUGCAGGCUGCAACUCGCCUGCACGAAGUCGGAAUUGCUAGUAAUCGUGGAUCAGCAUGCCAGCGGUGAAUACGUUCCCGGGCCUUGUACACACCGCC
rnacentral:rRNA from 1 species